CAAGUGAACCUGCAGAGAUGAUAGAGGUGAGACCGACUGCUGACAAAAUAUCUUUACAGACCUGUUCAAAGAUGUCAGGAUCAAAGUUUCAAAAUGGGACUAAAAUACUUUCAAAGAUGAUCAACUCUCUUCAUCUGUCCUCAGCUGGACUCUGCUCAUGAGAAUGAGAAAGUCUCAGCGGUCACUGCAGCACAGACUGAAGACAUAGAGUAGCAGGAAGACAGGGUGUGAAAUCCAGUCAGGGUGGGGUGUCUCCAGUGGUGCUGAUGGUGUACUGGUCCCAUCACUAGACUGGAGUCUCCUGUUGAGCGGUUGCUGGUUCAACUCCCGCCCAUGAUCCUUUGCUGCACAUGUUCUCUCAGUCAAAAAUAAGAUGUUUCAAACUCUUACUUUUGUCAUGUUGG